rnacentral:rRNA from 1 species
CCAGCCAUGCCGCGUGUGUGAAGAAGGCCUUAGGGUUGUAAAGCACUUUCAGUGGGGAGGAAGGCUUCUGGCUAAUAACCUGGAGUACUUGACGUUACCCACAGAAGAAGCACCGGCUAAUUUCGUGCCAGCAGCCGCGGUAAUACGAAAGGUGCGAGCGUUAAUCGGAAUUCCUGGGGGUAUAGCGCGCUUAGGCUCCUGUGGGAGACAGAGGUGAAAUCCCCGGGCUCAACCUGGGAAUUGCAUUAUAGACUGGAUAACUAGAAUGCGGUAGAGGGGGGUGGAAUUCCAGGUGUAGCAGUGAAAUGCGUAAAUAUCUGGAGGAACACCAAUGGCGAAGGCGACCCCCUGGACUGACAUUGACACUGAGGUGCGAAAGCGUGGGGAUCAUU